UCAAAUCAACCAUUCCCCAAGCCAGUUCCACAUACUCUCAUAAGGUCCCCUCACCAAAUUGAGUCAUAACUCUCAUACCCUUCUUAAAGUUGAGACGAUUCUAUCGUACGAAGCCUCCGCCAUGGCUCCCGAGCCUCCGCAUCAAGGGCCAACCGCUCUGCUUCAAAUGCCGUCACAUCGAAGGCCUUGUUGUUGUUCUUCUGACUGCCAGAGGCGACUUCCACCUUGGACCAACUGUUGUGGGGAUUCGCGGAGAGAGAACAAAGGGUGCAAAGAGAGGAGGGAUUGAGAAAGUUGGUGCUGAGCAUAAAUGGAUGUAAUAAAAGAAAUGCAUCCAUUUUAUCAGAAAGAACUUGAGUUUGGUCUCAAAAUAUUUGAUUUUUAAUUA